GGGGGAAAAAUUAAUAAUUUAUAAUUAUAAUAAAAAAAAUUUUAAUAUUAAAAAUAUAUGGGGGUUAAAGUAUUUUUAAUAGAAAAAAUUUUUAAAUUUAUAGUUUAAUAGUAUUGUAAAAGAAAUUUGAAAUAAUAGUGAAAAUAGAAAUUAAUAAAAAGUAAAUUUUAUUUAUUGUAUCUUGUGUAUCAGAGUUUAUUAAUAAAAAUUUAAAUAAUAAAAUUCUCGAAUUUAAAAGAGUUAAUUAAUUAAAAAAUUUAUUGUUUUAUAAAUAUUUUAAAUAAUUAAUUAGAAAUGAAAUGUUAAUCGUUUUUAAAUAUAUCUAGUUUUUUUAGAAAAAAAUUUAAUUUUUAAUUAAAUAAAAAAUUUAUUUAUUAGUUAAAUAAAUUUUUUAUUUAAUUUAAUAUUUUAAGGGAUAAGCUUUAAAUUAAAUUUUUAUAAAAAUAAUAAAAAAUUGAAAAUUUUAUAAUUUAUAUUGUUAAUAAAUUUUAUUUUAUUAUAAAUAAUUUCAUAAAAUUUAAAAUUUAAUAAAAAUUUAAUUUUUUAUAAAAAAAUAUUUUUUAAUAAAUAAAAAAUAGUUAUAAUGAUAAAAUUAGUAUAUAAAAUGUAUUUAAAAUAAUUUAAAAGUGUAAAAUAUAAAUUUAUGUUUAAUUAUUUUAAAGGAACUCGACAAAAUUAUAUAUAUAUAUGUAUAUAUAUAUAUAUAUAUUCACCUGUUUAUCAAAAACAUGUCUUUUUGAAAUUAAUUUAAAGUCUAAUCUGCCCACUGAUAAAAAUUGAAGGGCUGCAGUAUAUUGACUGUACAAAGGUAGCAUAAUCAUUAGUCUCUUAAUUGGUGACUUGUAUGAAGGAUUGGAUGAAAUAUAAAUUGUCUCUAAUAUAUAUAAUUGAAUUUAAUUUUUUAAUUAAAAAGUUAAAAUAUAUUAAAAAGACGAGAAGACCCUAUAGAGUUUUAUAUAUUUUUUAUUUAAAAUUAUAAAUUUUGUGAUGAAUUUUAAUUAGUGGGUAUAUUUUAUUGGGGUGAUAUAAAAAUUUAUUUAACUUUUUUUAAAAUUUUACAUAAAUAAGUGAUUUUUUGAUCCAAUAUUAUUGAUUAUAAGAAAAAAUUACCUUAGGGAUAACAGCGUAAUUUUUUUUUUUAGUACAAAUAAAAAAAAGAGUUUGCGACCUCGAUGUUGGAUUAAGAUAAAAUUUAAAUGCAAAAGUUUAAAAUUUUGAUCUGUUCGAUCAUUAAAAUCUUACAUGAUCUGAGUUCAAACCGGUGUAAGCCAGGUUGGUUUCUAUCUUUUAAAAAUUUUAAUGUUUUAGUACGAAAGGAUCAAAUAUUAUAAUUAAAUUAAUUUUAUUUGAAUAUUACUAAAUUAUAAUUAAAUUUAUAA
rnacentral:rRNA from 1 species